UGGGGUGUGGCUCAGUGGUAGAGCGCUUUCCUAGCAUGUGUGAGGCACUGGGUUUGAUCCUCAGCGCCUCAG
rnacentral:tRNA from 1 species